rnacentral:misc_RNA from 1 species
GAUGAAGAACGUAGCGAAAUGCGAUACUUGGUGUGAAUUGCAGAAUCCCGCGAAUCAUCGAGUUUUUGAACGCAAGUUGCGCCCGAAGCCAUUCGGCCGAGGGCACGUCUGCCUGGGUGUCACGCAUCGUUGCCCCCCCAAACUCCGGUUCGGGCGGGGCGGAAGUUGGCCUCCCGUGCGUGCCUGCGCGCGCGGUUAGCCCAAAAGCGAGUCCUCGGCGACGAGCGCCACGACAAUCGGUGGUUUUUUUACCCUCGUUCCUCGUCGUGCGUGUCCCGUCGCCCGAACGCGCUCUUGCGACCCUCGCGCGUCGCCUCGGCGGCGCUCCCAACGCGACCCCAGGUCAGGCGGGACUACCCGCUGAGUUUAAGCAUAUCAAUAAGCGGAGGA